GUCUGGCGGCGUGCUAUACAUGCAAGUCGAGCGAACAGAUAAGGAGCUUGCUCCUUUGACGUUAGCGGCGGACGGGUGAGUAACACGUGGAUAACCUACCUAUAAGACUGGGAUAACUUCGGGAAACCGGAGCUAAUACCGGAUAACAUAUUGAACCGCAUGGUUCAAUAGUGAAAGGCGGCUUUGCUGUCACUUAUAGAUGGAUCCGCGCCGUAUUAGCUAGUUGGUAAGGUAACGGCUUACCAAGGCAACGAUACGUAGCCGACCUGAGAGGGUGAUCGGCCACACUGGAACUGAGACACGGUCCAGACUCCUACGGGAGGCAGCAGUAGGGAAUCUUCCGCAAUGGGCGAAAGCCUGACGGAGCAACGCCGCGUGAGUGAUGAAGGUCUUCGGAUCGUAAAACUCUGUUAUCAGGGAAGAACAAAUGUGUAAGUAACUGUGCACAUCUUGACGGUACCUGAUCAGAAAGCCACGGCUAACUACGUGCCAGCAGCCGCGGUAAUACGUAGGUGGCAAGCGUUAUCCGGAAUUAUUGGGCGUAAAGCGCGCGUAGGCGGUUUUUUAAGUCUGAUGUGAAAGCCCACGGCUCAACCGUGGAGGGUCAUUGGAAACUGGAAAACUUGAGUGCAGAAGAGGAAAGUGGAAUUCCAUGUGUAGCGGUGAAAUGCGCAGAGAUAUGGAGGAACACCAGUGGCGAAGGCGACUUUCUGGUCUGUAACUGACGCUGAUGUGCGAAAGCGUGGGGAUCAAACAGGAUUAGAUACCCUGGUAGUCCACGCCGUAAACGAUGAGUGCUAAGUGUUAGGGGGUUUCCGCCCCUUAGUGCUGCAGCUAACGCAUUAAGCACUCCGCCUGGGGAGUACGACCGCAAGGUUGAAACUCAAAGGAAUUGACGGGGACCCGCACAAGCGGUGGAGCAUGUGGUUUAAUUCGAAGCAACGCGAAGAACCUUACCAAAUCUUGACAUCCUUUGACCGCUCUAGAGAUAGAGUCUUCCCCUUCGGGGGACAAAGUGACAGGUGGUGCAUGGUUGUCGUCAGCUCGUGUCGUGAGAUGUUGGGUUAAGUCCCGCAACGAGCGCAACCCUUAAGCUUAGUUGCCAUCAUUAAGUUGGGCACUCUAAGUUGACUGCCGGUGACAAACCGGAGGAAGGUGGGGAUGACGUCAAAUCAUCAUGCCCCUUAUGAUUUGGGCUACACACGUGCUACAAUGGACAAUACAAAGGGCAG
rnacentral:rRNA from 1 species